GGGUUGGAAUCCUUUGGGGUUACAGCCUUGCUGAAUUCUUCACCCGUGUCUUUUGGGUACUUCUUGUUUCCUUGGUGGGUUCGCCCACCAUAGGACAAACCAUUAAACCUUUUGUAAUUGCAAACAGCGUCAGUAAAAAAAAUUAAUAAUUACAACUUUUAACAACGGAUCUCUUGGUUCUGGCAUCGAUGAAGAACGCAGCGAAAUGCGAUAAGUAGUGUGAAUUGCAGAAUUCAGUGAAUCAUCGAAUCUUUGUACGCACAUUGCGCCCUUUGGUAUUCCAAAGGGCAUGCCUGUUCGAGCGUCAUUUGUACUCUCAAGCUUUGCUUGGUGUUGGGCGUCUUGUCUCCAGUUCGCUGGAGACUCGCCUUCAAGUAAUUGGCAGCCGGCCUACUGGGUUCGGAGCGCAGCACAAGUCGCGCUCUCUUCCAGCGAAGGUCUGCAUCCACAAAGCCUUUUUUCAACUUUUGACCUCGGAUCAGGUAGGGAUACCCGCUGAACCUAAGCAUAUCAAUAAGCGGAGGAA
rnacentral:sRNA from 1 species